AGCAUUCUCCAAUCAGCCCACUUAUUCCGUACUUGCUGAAACUAAAUCUCGAGGAUCAGAAACGCGACUGCGGACCAUGUAACUUUUUUCGAAUAUUAAAUACAACUUACUCCAUAUCCUGACAAUUCUGGAGUUUUUAUGACGGAUCUUGUAAAAGCCGCAAUACUGGACACGAGAGUUGCCAUUUUUACGAGAAAAGCAGAAAAA